rnacentral:rRNA from 1 species
AUGAACGCUGGCGGCGUGCCUAAUACAUGCAAGUCGAACGAGUUCUCGUUGAUGAUCGGUGCUUGCACCGAGAUUCAACAUGGAACGAGUGGCGGACGGGUGAGUAACACGUGGGUAACCUGCCCUUAAGUGGGGGAUAACAUUUGGAAACAGAUGCUAAUACCGCAUAGAUCCAAGAACCGCAUGGUUCUUGGCUGAAAGAUGGCGUAAGCUAUCGCUUUUGGAUGGACCCGCGGCGUAUUAGCUAGUUGGUGAGGUAAUGGCUCACCAAGGCGAUGAUACGUAGCCGAACUGAGAGGUUGAUCGGCCACAUUGGGACUGAGACACGGCCCAAACUCCUACGGGAGGCAGCAGUAGGGAAUCUUCCACAAUGGACGCAAGUCUGAUGGAGCAACGCCGCGUGAGUGAAGAAGGCUUUCGGGUCGUAAAACUCUGUUGUUGGAGAAGAAUGGUCGGCAGAGUAACUGUUGUCGGCGUGACGGUAUCCAACCAGAAAGCCACGGCUAACUACGUGCCAGCAGCCGCGGUAAUACGUAGGUGGCAAGCGUUAUCCGGAUUUAUUGGGCGUAAAGCGAGCGCAGGCGGUUUUUUAAGUCUGAUGUGAAAGCCCUCGGCUUAACCGAGGAAGCGCAUCGGAAACUGGGAAACUUGAGUGCAGAAGAGGACAGUGGAACUCCAUGUGUAGCGGUGAAAUGCGUAGAUAUAUGGAAGAACACCAGUGGCGAAGGCGGCUGUCUGGUCUGUAACUGACGCUGAGGCUCGAAAGCAUGGGUAGCGAACAGGAUUAGAUACCCUGGUAGUCCAUGCCGUAAACGAUGAAUGCUAGGUGUUGGAGGGUUUCCGCUCUUCAGUGCCGCAGCUAACGCAUUAAGCAUUCCGCCUGGGGAGUACGACCGCAAGGUUGAAACUCAAAGGAAUUGACGGGGGCCCGCACAAGCGGUGGAGCAUGUGGUUUAAUUCGAAGCAACGCGAAGAACCUUACCAGGUCUUGACAUCUUUUGAUCACCUGAGAGAUCAGGUUUCCCCUUCGGGGGCAAAAUGACAGGUGGUGCAUGGUUGUCGUCAGCUCGUGUCGUGAGAUGUUGGGUUAAGUCCCGCAACGAGCGCAACCCUUAUGACUAGUUGCCAGCAUUUAGUUGGGCACUCUAGUAAGACUGCCGGUGACAAACCGGAGGAAGGUGGGGAUGACGUCAAAUCAUCAUGCCCCUUAUGACCUGGGCUACACACGUGCUACAAUGGAUGGUACAACGAGUUGCAAGACCGCGAGGUCAAGCUAAUCUCUUAAAGCCAUUCUCAGUUCGGACUGUAGGCUGCAACUCGCCUACACGAAGUCGGAAUCGCUAGUAAUCGCGGAUCAGCACGCCGCGGUGAAUACGUUCCCGGGCCUUGUACACACCGCCCGUCACACCAUGAGAGUUUGUAACACCCGAAGCCGGUGGCGUAACCCUUUUAGGGAGCGAGCCGUCUAAGGUGGGACAAAUGAUUAGGGUG